GUCGAACGGUGAAGCCCAGCUUGCUGGGUGGAUCAGUGGCGAACGGGUGAGUAACGCGUGAGUAACCUGCCCCUGACUCUGGGAUAAGCCUUGGAAACGAGGUCUAAUACCGGAUAUGUGACGUUCAGGCAUCUGAUGCGUCUGGAAAGAUUUAUCGGUCAAGGAUGGACUCGCGGCCUAUCAGCUUGUUGGUGGAGGUAACGGCCUACCAAGGCGACGACAGGUAGCCGGCCUGAGAGGGCGACCGGCCACACUGGGACUGAGACACGGCCCAGACUCCUACGGGAGGCAGCAGUGGGGAAUAUUGCACAAUGGGCGCAAGCCUGAUGCAGCGACGCCUCGUGAGGGAUGAAGGCCUUCGGGUUGUAAACCUCUUUCAGCAAGGAAGAAGCGCAAGUGACGGUACCUGCAGAAUAAGCGCCGGCUAACUACGUGCCAGCAGCCGCGGUAAUACGUAAGGCGCAAGCGUUGUCCGGAAUUAUUGGGCGUAAAGAGCUCGUAGGCGGUUUGUCGCGUCUGCUGUGAAAACUCGAGGCUCAACCUCGGGCUUGCAGUGGGUACGGGCAGACUAUAGUGCGGUACGGGAGACUGGAAUUCCUGGUGUAGCGGUGGAAUGCGCAGAUAUCAGGAGGAACACCGAUUGCGAAGGCAGGUCUCUGGGCCGCAACUGACGCUGAGGAGCGAA
rnacentral:rRNA from 1 species